rnacentral:rRNA from 1 species
AACGUAGGUGGCGAGCGUUAUCCGGAUUUACUGGGCGUAAAGCGUGUGCAGGCGGGAUACAAGUGGUGUAUGAAAUUUCCCAGCUUAACUGGGAAGGGUUAUGCCAGACUGUAUUUCUGGAGUGCGAGAGAAGGGCGUGGAAUUCCGGGUGUAGUGGUGAAAUGCGUAGAGAUCCGGAGGAACCCAGAGGCGAAGGCGGCGCCCUGGCUCG